CCCCCUCCCCUCCUAUUCACAUCUCUCCCUGCCCCCUCCCAGACUAUUUCCCUGCAUCCCAAGGCCUCCAAGAUGCUGGACAUUUUCAUCCUGAUGUUUUUUGCCAUUAUUGGCCUGGUUUUGCUGUCGUACAUCAUCUAUAUAUUGUGAGGAAUGAUAUUCUUGGCUUGCAGCCUUUAGGUGAAUGGAUGUGUCAAAAUGAACAAGCCAAUGUCGUGAGACACAAUGCUCUUUAAUCUACUGUGGACCAGAGGGGACUCUUUGAAGGCAAUGACAGAUGUAGGAUUUCAAAACCAAGCAACCAAGAAGAUGCCAUCAAGGAGUUUUUCGUGUGGAGACACCAGAGCAAAAAAGGAAAAACAGUUACACUACCGAUAUCACAGUUAAAAUGUAUAUUUUAUUUCUAAAUAUUGUGGGUCAAAGAACAAAACAAAAGAUUGAAACAUGAAUAUUAUAUAUGUAUUUCACCUGCUACCAUUUUACAUAUUGUGCUAUAUUAAUAUUUUUUUUUAUUAACAUACUGAAAUGUGAUUUUUUUGUUAUUAACAUUUUAAAUUUGGUUUGACCAGCUUUGAUCAUGACCAAAAAUAAUAUGAACAAAAACAUUGGCUCACAUAUGUACUGGAAAAUAAAGUUUAAGAAAUCAUA